CCUACGGGAGGCAGCAGUGGGGGAUAUUGCACAAUGGGGGAAACCCUGAUGCAGCGACGCCGCGUGGGCGAAGAAGGAUUUCGGUAUGGAAAGCCCUAUCAGCAGGGAAGAAGAAAGGACGGGACCUGAGUAAGAAGCACAGGCUAAAGACGAGCCAGCAGCCGCGGUAAUACGAAUGGUGCAAGCGUUAGCCGGAUUUACUGGGUGUACAGGGAGCGCAGGCGGCACGGGAAGCCUGAUGGGAAAGCCCGCGGCCCAACCGCGGGACUGCCUUGGGAACUACCGGGCUGGAGUGCCGGAGCGGUCGGCGGAAUUCCUCGUGUCGCGGUGACCUGCGUAGAUAUUAGGAG
rnacentral:rRNA from 1 species